rnacentral:lncRNA from 12 species
UUUUGAAUUAACCAUCAUACCUGAUGUUUUUCCUCAAAAGAAGAAUCAAUGUAUGUAGUAUCUCUUGGGAGCAGAAAUUUCUGCUGGAAUGGAGAAAGAAAAGUUUGCAUAAGAAGUUGUCACAAAGACAAAUGGGCUUAAGAGACUAAGAAGAGACCCAUAUAAUUUGAAGUUCACAAUGACAGCAAUCAACAAACCAACAAGUUAUAGAUGAAGAACUGUUCUGUGGAAACAUUGUAAAUAGUUGAUCUCCAUUAUCAAUACUCCAGUCCAAGAGAUGAGGAUGCUAUUUAUGCAAGCAGCAUGGAAAUUUGGGAUUCUUUAAAGACAAAGAGAAUUUUAAGAAAAGGUACAUUGCAAGUCCCAUUGCAAGAAUUACAAGUGAAGGAGGACUCCUAUACAGCUACUUCAGGAAUUGUUUAUCUGCAAUGGCACAUUUGUUUUCCAUCUGAGCAUUUGCUUAAAUUGCAUUUCAUCCCUCAUUUAUAUUUCUCAUCUACAUGGUAA